rnacentral:rRNA from 1 species
GACGAACGCUGGCGGCGUGCUUAACACAUGCAAGUCGAACGGAAAGGCCCCUUUGGGGGUACUCGAGUGGCGAACGGGUGAGUAACACGUGAGUAACCUGCCCUUGACUUCGGGAUAACUUCAGGAAACUGGGGCUAAUACCGGAUAGGAAUCCUUGCUGCAUGGUGGGGGUUGGAAAGCUUCGGCGGUUUUGGAUGGACUCGCGGCUUAUCAGCUUGUUGGUGGGGUAGUGGCUUACCAAGGCUUUGACGGGUAGCCGGCCUGAGAGGGCGACCGGCCACAUUGGGACUGAGAUACGGCCCAGACUCCUACGGGAGGCAGAAGUGGGGAAGAUUGCACAAUGGGCGGAAGCCUGAUGCAGCAACGCCGCGUGCGGGAUGACGGCCUUCGGGUUGUAAACCGCUUUCAGCAGGGGCGAAGCUUGUGGUGACGGUACCUGCAGAAGAAGCACCGGCUAACUACGUG